CUCACAUCUGGCGUCUACAACAUCUCCAUGUGUGAGGAAGACAAGAAACUUAAAGCAUUUACCACACCUCUAGGGCUCUACGAGUUCAAUCGUCUUCCGCAGGGACUAUGCAACAGCCCAGCUAGUUUCAUGCGGCUUAUGAUGAGUAUAUUUGGUGACCAAAACUUCGUUACCCUGCUGUAUUACUUGGAUGAUCUCCUAGUGGUAGCUCCCAAUGAAGAAAAGGCCCUGGAGAGGUUGGAGAUGGUCCUCGAGAGAUUGAGUGCUCAUGGGUUGAAGUUGGCGCCUAAGAAAUGCUACUUCCUAGGCGGAGCGUCAGGUUCCUUGGCCAUGUUGUGAAUGAGAAUGGAAUCGCGACUGAUCCCGACAAAAUUGCAGCCAUUACGUCCGUCACUGAAAUGGAUGAUGGGGUCUCACCUUCCCAAAGAAAGAUCAAGUCCUUUUUGGGUAUGGUCAUGUAUUACCAACGGUUCAUCCCUAACUUUUCUAGCAUCGCUAAACCACUCUUCAUGCUAACCGCCACAGCCAAAAAGAAAAAGGGCUACUCAAAGGGUGGCGCUGCUUUCAGGAAACUCGGCCCGUUAGAUUGGACAAGAAAAUGUGUUCUAUCCUUUUAACAGCUUAAGUCGGCUCUUGUGAACUCUGUAGUGUUGGCGCACCCUGAUUUCACCUGGCCAUUUAUCCUCUCUACAGAUGCCUCCUUGGAUGGUAUAGGGACUGUAUUAUCACAAGUCCCUGAAGGAGAGUCCAAGGCAUGGCCCAUUGCCUUUGCAAGUAAGGCACUUACGCGAGCUCAUUCCAACUACCCUGUGCACUGUCUUGAGUUUCUGGCGUUGAAAUGGUCUGUCUGGGACACCCUUUCACAGUCUGGAUGGACAAUAAUCCGUUGACCUAUAUUUUAACGAAGCCGAAACUAGACGCGUGCGAACAGAGGUGGGUAGCUAAGUUGGCCCCGUACUCUUUUGAUAUCCAGUACAUACCUGGCACCAAAAAUGUGGUUGCCGAUGCUCUGAGCCAUAAGCCGUUUGUUUCCAGUCAAAGACUGAGUCAGAGACUAGUGGCAGAGCCUUACAACCUUUUACUUGAACAGUCUGAACAGAUAAGAGAAGACACAGUACAGGAUUCCUUUAGGCUCCGUGCAAAUAGCCAGUGUGUUGGACAUUCAUUGGAGAAAAGUUCCUUGUCUUCUGAUCAGGUCUCUGCUAUCUUUGAAGCUCAUGCUAAGUAGGAAGUGGGAGCAGAGGGGAGAGUCAUUUCCUGGCUUGCUCAAGAAACCAAACGGAUGAUGCCUGCUGGUCAGAACCCCUUACCCAUCUACUCAAUGGAGGAGCUUCGAGAGAGGCAAGAAGGUGACCACGUGCUUUCAAGAGUUCUCUUCUAUGUGUGCUGAGGUAAGAGACCAUCUCUGAGAGAAAGAGCUAAGGAACCUUACAAGGCCUUGAAACUGUUGAAGCAAUGGGACAGAUUAAAGCUGUUGGAUGGCAUACUGUACCAUGUCUGCAAGGAUCCAGUGACUGUUUACACGUUACCAGUUCAUAGUUCCCCACUGGUCAGUGAAGUCUUGCGUGGCAUCCAUGACGAGGCAAGCCAUCAAGGUCAAGGAAGAACAUUUUCUUUGGCUAGACAGAGAUUUUAAUGGGUUGGUUUGGAGAGUGACACCUGAGAGUAUGUGAGACGCUGUCAACGUUGUGUGGUCAGUAAAACCCCUGAACCAGAGGGGAGAGCCCAUUUAGAAAGCAUCUGAACUGUCAGUCCAUUAGAAUUAGUCUGUAUAGACUUCUGGUCUGCCGAGGAUUCUUCUGGCAAGAGCAUUGAUGUACUUGUGGUAACGGACCACUUUACGAGUUUGGCAAAUGCGUUUCCCUGCAAGAACCAGUCAGCAUCCCAAGUCGCUCGUCACUUAUGGGGUAAGUUCUUUUGUGUUUAUGGAUUUCCACAAAGAAUCCACUCAGACCAAGGAGCGAACUUUGAAAGCAGGUUGAUCAAGGAACUAUUGCAGAUUGCUGGCAAACAGAAGUCACGAAUCACGGCAUAUCACCUGAUGGGUAAUGGCCAAGUCGAGAGGUUCAAUCGCACCUUGGGUAAUAUGAUCAGGGCAUUACCUCCAAGAGCCAAACAGGACUGGCCGCAAAUGCUGGAAACCCUGACAUUCGCUUACAACUGUACUGCCCAUGAGUCAACUGGCUUUGCCCUGUUUUUCCUCAUGUAUGGUCGGAUUCCCAGAUUGCCUGUCGAUUUGAUGUUCCAGAGCGUGGAUCGGGAUAACGACGUCACGGACUAUGACCAGUAUGUAAGGAAAAUGAAGGACGUUCUCAAUUAAGUUAUGUUACUUGCUCAGGCCAACAACACUGUGAGUCAACAACGACAAACUGAGCAUUACAACAAAGACGUCAAAGGCCGAGACAUUGAGGAAGGAAACUAUGUAUUGCUCGCCAACAAAGGAGAGCGUGGAUGGUGCAAAUUAGCUGACAAAUGGGACUCAACCUUGCAUGUUGUGGUGUCUGUGGAUACAAGAUGUCAUACCAUGUAAGGAACUCCAGGACCAAUCAGGAGAAGGUGGUUCACAUGAACUUGUUGUUGCGAGCAAAUUUCUUGCCUGUUGACGAGAGGGAGGACUGUGUAGAUCCGGCCUUCGAUGACUUCAAGUCGGACUGUGAGACUGACGACUCCAUGAUCGACACUACUUUAAAUGAAUUAGAGGAUGCUGGUAAUGAGAUUGAUGAACUACUCCAUUCUCCAGCUUAUCUAUCGAGUCCAUCAAUGGAAGAGGAAACCAGUGAUCCAAGUUCUGGACCAGGAUCGGAGCAUGUCGAGAGAGAGUUCAGAGUUCUGAACCUGACCCUUCUGAUAUGAAUGUUGAGGAAGUUGAACAUGACAUGGAAGAGUCAAUACCACCUGACAGAGUUCCUGGAGAGGUGGUUCAGCCUUUGUCUGAAAUAGCUCACACAGUCAGAACAAGGGCUGGCAGAUUGGUAAAACCAGUUAAUAGACUGAUUCAAAUUAUGACCCAGACUACCUUACUGCGUAGCCCUUCCCUCAGCCUUCUAAGGUCAAAAGCUUCUUAAGUGGGAGUUAUGAGUUCCCUGUCAGUGUUAUUCAUCUGGGGUACAACAUAAGUGGUGAUCAUUUUGAGUAUCUGUGAAGUAGUGUUUAUGGCACUUCUUUUUGCGGGCAGACACUUGAGAGUCUGGCCAACUUUCUUUUGUCGCUCACCCAGUGAGAUGGGUAACAUAUGUUGCGUGCAGAUACUGUGAUUUUGUCAAAGUGUGAUCACAUCCCCAGUGUAAUUUAGUCACUAGUGUUUGACUAGUUUUGUGAAGUUUAGGGGGGUGAAUGUAGCCUGUUGGGAAGAGUGAAAUAUUAAUUGUAUUUUAUUUCUAUGUAAUGAACUUCCCAAAACUAUUUUUCCAUGAGUUAAAGACAUUUGGUUUCAUUAUGUAUUAAAUACCUAUACGGGUCAUGCAAUGUUAUUGUUGUUAGGAACUAUCAAUUAAGGUGUUUUGUUCAAGUGGGACGCUUAUCGGUGUUGCGUGCUAUGCCUUUGGGGAGCGCAUGAAUUACUUUCGCCUCAGACCGCAAAUGGACGCUGGCGAGGCAAGAAGCACAUUUUCUCCUUCUCUUCUUUCAGUCACUAUUGGUAUGUUUAAAAGUAUUAAUUCGGUUAAAGUUCAUUAAAUAUCAAACAGAAUGUGUUCUGAGUCAAGUAUACAAAUGUAUUUUUGUGUAUUGGUUACUUUGUGAGUUUUAUGUGACUUUUGUCUGACGCACGUGGAGCUAACUAACUAGUGGUUUGUGCAGUGUUUAACGUGGGAAGAAGUUAGCGCAACGGAUGUUUCUCUGAUCAAGUGUCCCAUAUGUUUCCAGGGUCAAUAAAUGGAGGUGUUUUGAAGCUAUCCUGCUGUCUCCGGUCUGAAAUUCUUAUGUGCAGAACAGGAUCUGCUACAUAAAACUGGUGCCGUGACCUUCUUCGAUACAACUGAUCAGCCACAGCCGAUCACCGGGUGUUGUCCGUCUACGUGGAACUGUUGCUGUGACUCACCUGGAUUUAGCAAGCCGACUGCAGUCGUCUGCCAGGUGUCUUGCUGUGGAUCGAGUCCUGCCUUCCAGUGUCAGCUAAUGAACUUUCCUCAUUUCAGUUACAUUCAGUUUUCUCUUACAUUCUUAAGACAUUGACUUUUGAAUCAGACAUAGAAUCAUUUAAGACAUUGAAUCAAUUUAUUUUGUUAUAUGCAAGUGACCAGUACGGACAUUAAGAUAUACAACAUAUCUAUGCCAGUAUUGGGGAAGGGUAGAGGUUUCAUCAGUUCAGAUGGUGUUGUGAGAUGUAAAGAAAAUGAUCAAAUUUGUGGUGUCAAUUUGGGCUUUUCACAAAUGGGGGGAAAAGUCAACUCUGGUGCUUCAUCUUUUGCACCUGUGUUUUGAAGCUAUCCGGCUGUCUCCGAUUUGAAAUUUCUUAUGUGCAGAACUGGAUCUGCUACACUUCUAAAUCACUUGCACCUUUAUUAGCAACUGACACAUAAGUGCCAGCUUUACAUGUCAUACAUUCUGCUUCCCGCGGAUCUCGACCUGGACGAAAGCAUGGGAAUUUUUUGUGCAAAUCUUCUAUAAAUUUGCACUUUCAUUUGGGCAUUGUUUCCACUCAGCUGUCAUUUGCUGCUACUGUCAAGCAACUGUUUGAUGCCGAACACAACAGCACUUCACGCAUUCACGGAGAGAUUGACUGGCAGGAAUUUGGCCAAUAGUUGCUGCAAGCCUCUUAUAAUCGACCAAUUAGUGUGUGAGAAGGCGGGACUUACAAAGAGGGGUUAAAGCAAUGCAAAUAUGCAUGCACACACAAUGAAGUAUUAGACCAGAUGCACAUCAUAAUGCAACUAAAGCCAAAUUGAAAAUUUUCGCAAAUUUAGAAAUCCUGGCUGGAUGCUUCUUUAAGGUCCGAAAAAGAGGACAUGUCCAGAAAAAAAGAGUACGUAUGGUCACCCUAUCUUAUCUAUCAUAAUCAAUCAUUAUAAACAUCUAAAAACCACAUUAUAUGUUUGAUAAUAUACAGUAUAAUUGGACCUUCAGUGCACCUUCUGUGAUAUAAUCUGUCCUCCAGUGCAUCUGCUAAGAAGCGUAAAUUAAGAUUUAAUUUUUUUUUUUUAAAUACAGCGUACAUUAAAGAACUCACGCUGGGAGAUCCGUCAGUACAGGAGAAACUUGUGUGCGAAAUGUUAAAGGAAUGUUCCAGGUUCAGUACAAGCUAAGCUCAGUCAGCAGCAUUUGUGGCAUAAUGUUGAUUACCACAAAAAUUAACUUGUUCCUCCUUUUCUUUAAAAAUGUUUUUUUUUUUUUUUUAAUCGAGGUUAGAGUGAGACACUUACAGUGGAAGUGAAUGGGGACAAUGAAAGUGAAUUGGGCCAAAUUUGGAGGGUUUCAAACACAGAAAUAUGAAGCUUAUAAUUUUAUAAAAGCACUUACAUUAAUUCUUCUGUGAAAACUCAUGUAUUAUUUGAGCUGUAAAGUUGUUUAAAUUUUACUUUUUAUAGUCGUUUUAGGGUUUGUUGACAUUAUAUCGUCAUGGUAACGAGGUUGUAAAAUUGACAAUAUCUACACUGAAAAGGUUAGUAAGCAAUUUUAUCACACCAAAAUCAUGUUUACACGCAUAUUGUUUAUGUCUUGUGGCUAUACUUUUGAAACAGUGAGUAUUUUAACGUUAAAAAAUUGGACACACUUGUAAGUAAACUUGUAAGACAUUGUAAGUCACUAACUGUAACUCAGAUUUGUGCUUUUUUUAAAGAAAAGGAGGAACGAGUCCAAAUUAAUUUUUGUGGUAAUCAACAUUAUGCCACAAAUGCUGUCAAUUGAGCUUAACUUGUAUUGAACCCGGAACAUUCCUUUAAGUGUUUUUAUCUAGGGCCCUACUGAAAUCUGUUUUAAUUUUUGUAAUUAUUUUUCCAGAAUUCCAUGUUUUAAAGUUUAAUUUUAUUUCAUCAUCAAAAUGGUGUGUAAUCAAAUUAAUUACUUUUAAAACUUUUAACAAGUAAAAAGUUACAACAAUUACUUUUCAACAUUCCAAUGCAAUUUUGUUUGCACAUUAUUUUACAGGACGUAUACUUUCAGUAUAGACUAUUUCAAGAAUGUAAACAAAAACAAAGGAAUUACAACGGUCCAAAUAUAUUUCCAGAUCCUUUCAACAAAGUCUCUUUUUCAAGGAAAGUCAGUCCACUCGGCGGCCAUCUUUGGAACGCUCUUGGGCAGUUUGGGCAGCUAUUUUCAAUGUAAACAAGCAUCAUGAAUGUGCUGCUCAUAUCUACUUGAGUGGGGAAAGACCAAAAUCUCCAAAACGGUUGGUCAAGAUUACGAUAAAAGAUAUUUCAAAUAAGCAGUAAAAUCUGACAACACUGUGUGGCAGGGUGAGCAAGAGACAGCACAGUGGGUGUAGUGUCAGGCCUCGGAGAGGCAUUUAUUUAAAAUGAGUGGUCUGGCUUCCCUGGGCCUCAGCACUCGAGGGGAAUAGUAGCCCGGCAUCCUGGCCUGUCGGCCACGACGCAUGCUCCAAUCCCCGGCAUCGCAUCUAGCUCACAAGGAAACAUGAAAUACGUGGAAAUGUCACCUCGGGCGAUGUUGAUCCACUGGAGGGGCGUGUCAUUUCGUCACAACUGGUAUAAUAAAUUGUGCAUCUUUAACUCAGAUUACGCUAAAAAACGCAAUUUUACCGUCUUGUGUAGCUAAUGCACAUGGCGUUCUCGAGUUGAUUGACAGGCAAUUUUUGUAUCUGUAAGGUGAUUGGCUAUUUUACCUGUAAGGCGGGACUUCCUUUCUACAUCCGUUUUACCGUUGGCUGCCGCCCAUCCAUUUUAAUAGAAGUGGCCUGUCUCUGCUUAAUACCCAGCAAACACAAAAUGUUGCAGUUAGGUAAUGUUGCAGUAUAACGUUUUAAAAACAUCCCAGAAACAACACCUGAAUAACACAAGCAAAAUAAAACGUUUUAAAAAUGUUGUGAAAGUACCAACCUUGAAUGUUUUCUUUAAGUAGACAAAAAACGUAAAUAUAAUCUGUUUUUAAUAUGAAAAUUUAACCAGACCAAAAUGCAAAUUUUGUGGGACAUUUUAUUUAGGUGUUAAAAUAACGUAAUUUGUACGUUUGAAUAUAACAUUUAAAAUGUGUCAUAAAAUACAAAAAUACAACCAGACAAAAUUACAACAUUUGUAGGCCGUUUUAUUUAGGUGUUAAAAUAAUGUCAUUUGUAAUAAUUGAAAUAAGACAAUAAAAUACGUCAUGAAAAUACCAAAUAAAAACCAGGCCAACUUAAACCA